UACCGGGGUUGCGAGCGUUGUCCGGAAUUACUAGGCGUAAAGGGCAGGCAGGCGGAUCCAUAAGUUUAUCGUUUAAGGCGUCGGCUUAACCGGCGUAGGGCGGUAGAUACUGUGGAUCUGGAAUGCGGUUGGGGAAGACAGAAUUCCUGGUGUAGCGGUGGAAUGCGCAGAGAUCAGGAGGAAUACCGAAGGCGAAGGCAGUCUUCCAAGCCGUUAUUGACGCUCAGCUGCGAAGGUGUGGGUAUCAAACAGGAUUAGAUACCCUGGUAGUCCCU
rnacentral:rRNA from 1 species